UACAGAGGGUGCAAGCGUUAAUCGGAAUUACUGGGCGUAAAGCGUGCGUAGACGGUUAUGUAAGUCAGGUGUGAAAGCCCCGGGCUCAACCUGGGAAUUGCAUUUGAGACUGCAUAGCUAGGGUGCGGAAGAGGGAAGCGGAAUUUCCGGUGUAGCGGUGAAAUGCGUAGAUAUCGGAAGGAACACAGUGGCGAAAGCGGCUUCCUGGUCCAGCACCGACGUCAGGCACGAAAGCGUGGGGAGCAAACAGG
rnacentral:rRNA from 1 species